CCGCAGGUUUCGGCACUUUGGAGCAAAAUAAUCGAACUAACGAGCACUAAACCUCACUCCUCGCUCCACCAUGUCACAGAGGCAAAAGGGCAAGGCCGCCAAAUCGGACCGGGAGUCCUUCUUUCUGGCGAGAACCGCCGAAACAAAAGCGCGGGACGGACGCGGCCUGAUCAAAGAUGGCGCCGCGCGAGACUCACGAGACGGCUCAAUGUCACCGCCAGCCUCACCAUCCUCAGCGGCUGACGACGGACCCCUCACGGUCGGCACCAUGCGGCUUAUGUUUGCAGAGCUCUCAGACAAGCUGCAGAAUAACAUGAAAACCCAAUUGCAAACCUUGGCAGCAGACCUCCACAAGGAUAUCACUGAGGUAGGCCAGCGCACCUCCCACUUAGAACAUAAGAUGGAUGAAUUUGCAGAGGCCCAUAACAGCCUAGCUGACAGGGUGCAGGGCUUUGAGAACUCCCUCACUAGCUACCAACUUAAACUAGCAGACCUAGAAGACAGAUCCAGGAGAAACAAUAUACGUAUAAGGGGUAUUCCAGAGACAGUUGCCCCAAAAGAAUUAGAAAACUACCUGACAAAUCUGUUCCAAGCCCUCACUCCCACAAUACACCCGGAUCAGCUUAUAGUGGAUCGGGCACACAGGCUAAGACGCCCAAAGCACCUCCCUCCAACCACAGAGAGAGAUGUCAUUGCCAGAGUGCACUUCUACCAUACCAAAG